rnacentral:rRNA from 1 species
UGGGGAAUUUUGGACAAUGGGGGAAACCCUGAUCCAGCCAUCCCGCGUGUGCGAUGAAGGCCUUCGGGUUGUAAAGCACUUUUGGCAGGAAAGAAACGUCAUGGGUUAAUACCCCGUGAAACUGACGGUACCUGCAGAAUAAGCACCGGCUAACUACGUGCCAGCAGCCGCGGUAAUACGUAGGGUGCAAGCGUUAAUCGGAAUUACUGGGCGUAAAGCGUGCGCAGGCGGUUCGGAAAGAAAGAUGUGAAAUCCCAUAGCUCAACUUUGGAACUGCAUUUUUAACUACCGGGCUAGAGUAUGUCAGAGGGAGGUGGAAUUCCGCGUGUAGCAGUGAAAUGCGUAGAUAUGCGGAGGAACACCGAUGGCGAAGGCAGCCUCCUGGGAUAACACUGACGCUCAUGCACGAAAGCGUGGGGAGCAAACAGG